CCCGACAUGCAUACAUACAUACAUACUGCCCAUCCCAUCAGCACUGGGCACAUAAGCAACAUUGGGCCAGAUCAGUAGUACGGUGGGGGACCACGUGCGAACCCCUGGUGACGAUCUGU
rfam:Volvox carteri f. nagariensis unplaced genomic scaffold VOLCAscaffold_49, whole genome shotgun sequence.